UCUCCUAUCGUCUAGUGGUUAGGAUUCAUGGUUUUCAUCCAUGCGACCAGGGUUCGAACCCCUGUGGGAGAA
rnacentral:tRNA from 1 species